rnacentral:rRNA from 1 species
CCCCCCCCCGGGGCUUUACCACUUUUUUUUUUUUCCGGGGUUUUUAUUUUUUGUGGUGGGAAAUUUUGGAGAGGGGGAAAAAACAAUUUUUUCCCCCCCGGGAAAACCAGGUUUUUGGCCCACUGGUUUACCGCCCAAAGCUUUUUUUGGGGGGAACCCUUAUAGAAAAUACCCCAAAGGUUUUGCCUUCCAAACGCGUUUGGGGAGCUUUUCCCCAUAUGGUUCGCCCUGCCAGGCGGCCCGGGAAUUUCACUAAGGAUUUUUGGUCAAUUUAGAGGAAAGUAAAAGUCGUAACCAGGUUUUCCGUAGGUGAACCUGCGGAAGGAUCAUAAAAGAAAUUUAAUAUUUUGAAAAUGGAUUUUUUUGUUUGGGCAAGAGCAUGAGAGCUUUUACUGGGCAAGAAGACAAGAGAUGGAGAGUCCAGCCGGGCCUGCGCUUAAGCGCGCGGUCUUGCUAGGCUUGUAAGUUUCUUUCUUGCUAUUCCAAACGGUGAGAGAUUUCUGUGCUUUUGUUAUAGGACAAUUAAAACCGUUUCAAUACAACACACUGUGGAGUUUUCAUAUCUUUGCAACUUUUUCUUUGGGCAUUCGAGCAAUCGGGGCCCAGAGGUAACAAACACAAACAAUUUUAUCUAUUCAUUAAAUUUUUGUCAAAAACAAGAAUUUUCGUAACUGGAAAUUUUAAAAUAUUAAAAACUUUCAACAACGGAUCUCUUGGUUCUCGCAUCGAUGAAGAACGCAGCGAAAUGCGAUACGUAAUGUGAAUUGCAGAAUUCCGUGAAUCAUCGAAUCUUUGAACGCACAUUGCGCCCCUUGGUAUUCCAGGGGGCAUGCCUGUUUGAGCGUCAUUUCCUUCUCAAACAUUCUGUUUGGUAGUGAGUGAUACUCUUUGGAGUUAACUUGAAAUUGCUGGCCUUUUCAUUGGAUGUUUUUUUUCCAAAGAGAGGUUUCUCUGCGUGCUUGAGGUAUAAUGCAAGUACGGUCGUUUUAGGUUUUACCAACUGCGGCUAAUCUUUUUUUAUACUGAGCGUAUUGGAACGUUAUCGAUAAGAAGAGAGCGUCUAGGCGAACAAUGUUCUUAAAGUUUGACCUCAAAUCAGGUAGGAGUACCCGCUGAACUUAAGCAUAUCAAU